rnacentral:rRNA from 1 species
CCCUUAGAUGUUCUGGGCCGCACGCGCGCUACAAUGGUCUUCGCAAACGGAUGCAUUCUCGAAGGAGAAUGCCAAUCUUGGAAUCUAUGCCUUGGUCGGGACAGUUGCUUGCAAUUUUUCGACUCGAACCAGGAAUUCCUUGUAAUCGUGAUUCAUCACAUCACGAUGAAUACGUCCCUGCCCUUUGUACACACCGCCCGUCGCUCCGACCGAUCGAAGAGUUAGGUGAAUUGUUUUGAUCGAUAAGAUUUGACUAUGGUCAACUCUCGUUGUGAAAUUCUGUGAAUCUGACUGUUUAGAGGAAGGAAAAGUCGUAACA